rnacentral:rRNA from 1 species
AUUGAACGCUGGCGGCAGGCCUAACACAUGCAAGUCGAGCGGCGCGGCGGACGGGUGAGUAAUGCCUAGGAAUCUGCCUCGUCGCGGGGGAUAACGUCCGGAAACGGGCGCUAAAACCGCAUACUAUCGGAUGAGCCUAGGUCGGCUUGGCGAGUUGGUGGGGUAAAGGCCUACCAAGGCGGAGAUCCGUAACUGGUCUGAGAGGAUGAUCAGUCAACCGGGAACGGGGACACGGUCAAGGGUCCUACGGGAGGCAGCAGUGGGGAAUAUUGGGCAAUGGGCGAAAGCCUGGUGCAGCCAGGCCGCGUGUGUGAAGAAGGGCAGGGGAUUGUAAAGCACGUCAAGUUGGUAGGCGUUACCAACAGAAGAAGCACCGGCUAACUUCGUGCCAGCAGCCGCGGUAAUAC